rnacentral:rRNA from 1 species
UACAGAGGUCCCAAGCGUUGUUCGGAUUCAUUGGGCGUAAAGGGUGCGUAGGCGGCGCGGUAAGUCGGGUGUGAAAUCUCGGGGCUUAACUCCGAAACUGCAUUCGAUACUGCCGUGCUUGAGGACUGGAGAGGAGACUGGAAUUUACGGUGUAGCGGUGAAAUGCGUAGAGAUGUGGAGGAACACCAGUGGCGAAGGCGACUUUCUGGCCUAUAACUGACGCUGAGGCGCGAAAGCGUGGGGAGCAAACAGG